rnacentral:misc_RNA from 1 species
AAUGAGGGUUAUGGAAAGGAAAGAUGAUUUGAUUUAGGAGGGUUAUGAUAUUUUAUAGAAUUGGAUAAAGUUGGUUUUUAAGGAAAUUUGAUUUUUUGGAAUUUGGAAAGUUGGUUUUUUUUAUAUGUAAUUUUAAAUUUUGAGUUUUUUUUUAAAGUUUGUUUGGUUGUUAGUUUUAUUUUUUAUUUUUUAGAAAAAAUGGUUUAAAGAAAUUUUUUUUAUUUUAGGUGGAAAAUUGGAAGAUGUUUUGUUUUGUUUGUUUGGAUUGAUGUUUGUGUUAGUGUGAGUUUUGUGAUUUUUGAUAAUAGUGUUUAAGUUUUGAGUUUUUAUUUUAAUGGUUUUAAGAUAAGGUAGUUUUUGUAAUUUUAAUUGUUUUUAAUAUAAGAAAAUUUUGAUUUUAGGGAAUGUUAGAGUUUCGUGAAUUGGGAAUUAGUUAAUAUGAAAUAUUUAGUAGUUUUGUUUUUGUUUUUUUAUUGUAGAUAUGUUUAAGAGUUAUUAAUAUGAAGUAUAAAAUGUUUAUAGUGUUUUGGUUUGUUUUAAGGUAAAAAUUGUUAUAUUGUUUUAUUUGUUAUAAGUUUGUUAAUAAGAAAGUAUUUUGAAAGAAUAGGAAUAAAAUGAAAAAUUAAAUGUGAUAUGAGUUUUUAGAGAAAUUAUGAAUAUUAAUUAUAUUUGAAAAUAUUUGUUUAUGAGAGUUUUGAUUGAAGGUAGAGGAGAAGGGGAUGAUAGAGGUUAAGAUGGUUGGAUGGUAUUAUUGAU